AUUGAACGCUGGCGGCAGGCUUAACACAUGCAAGUCGAGCGAGCGGCGGACGGGUGAGUAAUGUCUGGGAAACUGCCUGAUGGAGGGGGAUAACUACUGGAAACGGUAGCUAAUACCGCAUACCAUCAGAUGUGCCCAGAUGGGAUUAGCUAGUAGGUGGGGUAAUGGCUCACCUAGGCGACGAUCCCUAGCUGGUCUGAGAGGAUGACCAGCAACACUUGAACUGGGACACGGUGCAGACUCCUAAGGGAGGCAGCAGGGGGGAAUAUGGCACAAGGGGCGGAAGCCUGAUGCGGCCAUGCCGCGGGUGGGAAGAAGGCCUUCGGGUUGUAAAGCACGUUCAGCGAGGAGGCGUUACCUGCAGAAGAAGCACCGGCUAACUCCGUGCCAGCCGCCGCGGUAAUUC
rnacentral:rRNA from 1 species